UACGUAGGUGGCAAGCGUUAUCCGGAUUUACUGGGUGUAAAGGGAGCGUAGACGGCAUAGCAAGUCUGAAGUGAAAGCCCGUGGCUCAACCGCGGAACUGCUUUGGAAACUGUUAAGCUGGAGUACUGGAGAGGCAAGCGGAAUUCCUAGUGUAGCGGUGAAAUGCGUAGAUAUUAGGAGGAACACCAGUGGCGAAGGCGGCUUGCUGGACAGAGACUGACGUUGAGGCUCGAAAGCGUGGGUAGCAAACAGG
rnacentral:rRNA from 1 species